rnacentral:rRNA from 1 species
AGCGAACGUUAGCGGCGGGCCUAAUACAUGCAAGUCGAACGAGAAUGAGGGAGCAAUCCUUCUAGUAAAGUGGCGGACGGGUGCGUAACACGUGGGUAAUCUACCUUCCGGCGGGGGACAACAAUCCGAAAGGAUUGCUAAUACCGCGUACGUCAACGAGGUCUCCGGACCUUGUUGGGAAAGAUGGCCUCUCCAUGGAAGCUGUCACCGGAAGAUGAGCCUGCGUCCCAUCAGCUAGUUGGCGAGGUAAUGGCUCACCAAGGCAAAGACGGGUAGCUGGUCUGAGAGGAUGAUCAGCCACACUGGGACUGCGACACGGCCCAGACUCCUACGGGAGGCAGCAGUAGGGAAUAUUGGGCAAUGGGCGAAAGCCUGACCCAGCCACGCCGCGUGAGUGAUGAAGGCCUUCGGGUCGUAAAGCUCUGUGGGGAGGGACGAACAAGCCCGGAUUUAAAAGACCGGGCUCUGACGGUACCUCCUUAGCAAGCACCGGCUAACCAUGUGCCAGCCGCCGCAGUAAGAC